UGGCCGUAAACGAUGUGGACUUGGUGUUGGAAUGGCUCCGAGCUGCUCCAGUGCCGAAGGGAAGCUGUUAAGUCCACCGCCUGGGAAGUACGGUCGCAAGACUGAAACUUAAAGGAAUUGGCGGGGAGCACCACAACGCGUGGAGCCUGCGGGUUUAAUUUGGAUUCAACGCCGGACAUCUCACCAGGGGCGGACAGCAGAAUGAUGGCCAGGUUGAUGACCUUGCUUGACAAGCUGAGAGGAGGUGCAUGGCGUGUGACUGU
rnacentral:rRNA from 1 species